GAUGAACGCUGGCGGCGUGCCUAACACAUGCAAGUCGAGCGAACAGACCAGGAUCUCUCUCCUCUGACGUGACCGGCGGACGGGUAAGUAACACGUGGACUACCCUCCUCUCUGACUUGGACAACUUCGGGAAAGCGGAACUAAUGCCGUGAAUUAUAUUCACCUGCAUGGUUCAAGAGUGAAUUAUGGUUUUUCUGUGACUUCUCGACGUAUCCGCGCGGUAUUAGCUAGUUGGCAAGGCAACGGCUUACCAAGUCAACGAUGCGUAGCCGAACUGAGCGGGUGGUCGGCCACACUGGAACUGAGACACGGACCAGGGUCCUACGGGAGGCAGCAGUAGGGAAUCUUCCGCAAUGGGCGAGAGCUUGACGGAGCAACGCCGCGUGAGUGACGAAGAUCUUCCGAUCGUAAAACUCUGUUAUUAGGGAAGAACAAAUUUGUGUGUAGAUAUGCACGUCUUGACGGUACCUAAUCAGGAAGCGACGGCUAACUACGUG
rnacentral:rRNA from 1 species